rnacentral:pre_miRNA from 1 species
CAAAUACUCCCUCUGUCCGAAAAUACUUGUCAUCAAAAUGGAUAAAAGGAAAUGUAUCUAGACGUAUUUUAGUUUUAGAUACAUCUCUUUUUAUCCAUUUUGAUGACAAGUAUUUUCGGACGGAGGGAGUAGAAA